rnacentral:lncRNA from 1 species
GUAAAGAAGGAUUUUUUUAAAAAAAAGUUAUCUUUUUAAAUUUUUGGGUGAUCAGUUAUUACUGAGACAAGGUAUCGACAAUCAAAUCCAUCUCCUCUUACAGAGAGCGGGUGAUAUCAGCAAUUGGGCAUGCCAUCUAUUAACUAUAUAUUAUUUCUCAAUAAUUUUACUGACGUGACGCGAUUUUCUUACUUUUAGAGUUUGUUCUUUAUUUAUUUUUUUUUCUCAUUUAGGUACCAUCACUUUUUUAUAACUCACAUGUUCCUCUCUUUUCCCUUCACCUCCCCGCAUUCCUCCAUCUUUCCCCUCUAUGUAACUUCCCACUUUUCUCUAUAACCACUACGAGCAUAUAUAUAAAAAAGACGCCACACAUCCUUUUAAUCCAAACCUUUGAAAUUUCCCAUCUUCCUUUCGCUCCCUCAUAUCCUUCCAUCUUACCUCAUCUACAUAACUCUUUAUUUUUCUCCAUAACCACCAUGAAUAUUUGUAAAGUUGUUAUAGAAAAUUUGUUAAUAUAAUUAUCUUAUCUUUGUUGAAUUAUUAGUAAUAUUUAUCCACCACUACCUUCUCUCUCUCUUCGAAUAGCUCAAGAAUUUUUGCUAGAUCUUAUCCGCCGUUCAAAAUCACUUCAAAUUGGUAGGAUUUUGCAUCAUUUUAUAUUAAUUUCAUCUUUGAUCGAUCUAAUUUUCGACGCUAUUGAUCUCUAUGACGUUCCUACCAGAUUAUUGAUCGUUUUUCUUACAGACUAUUUAAAUUAAUAUUCUUUAUUUCAUAUUUAGAGUACUAUUUUUUAUUUAUUUGAUAACUAUAUAUUUCAAAUUUAUUUUUUCAGACUAUUAUUGAUGAUCGAUAAUGAUAGAAAAGAUAAUUGUUUCAAUAAUAUCUAUCUGCCGUAUCGCACGGAUUACUACACUAGUUUUAGGUUAAAGAAGAAUUUCUUUAUAUCUUCCUCUUUUGUCUUUU